UACGGGGGGGAGCAAGCGUUGUUCGGAUUUACUGGGCGUAAAGGGCGCGUAGGCGGCGCAACAAGUCACUUGUGAAAUCUCCGGGCUUAACCCGGAGCGGUCAAGUGAUACUGUCGUGCUAGAGUGCGGAAGGGGCUACUGGAAUUCUCGGUGUAGCGGUGAAAUGCGUAGAUAUCGAGAGGAACACCUGCGGCGAAGGCGGUUCUCUGGGCGAUGUCCUGACGGCUGAG
rnacentral:rRNA from 1 species